rnacentral:rRNA from 1 species
GACGAACGCUGACGGCGUACUUAACACAUGCAAGUCGAGCGGAGCGGCGCACGGGAGAGUAACGCGUGAGUAACUGCCCCCCUCUCUGGGAUAACAGUUGGAAACGGCUGCUAAUACCGGAUAGUGGGGGAUGACACGGGUCCUAUAAGCUUGUUGGUGGGGUAGGGGCCUACCAAGUAGACGACGGGUAGCCGGCCUGAGAGGGCGACCGGCCACAUUGUGCUACGGUACGGCCCAUACUCCUACGGGGGGCAGUAGUUGGGAAGAUGGCACAAUGGGGGAAACCCUGAUGCAGCAACGCCGCGUGCGGGAUAACGUCUUUCGGGUUGUAAUCCUCUAUCAGCCAAGACGCGGUAGUGGCAGAGGAAGCACCGGCUAACUACGUGCCAGCAGACGCGGGAAUAC